CUCAGAAGGAGCAAAAAGCAGAGCAGAAUCUAAUAGGCUGCUUGCAUACCUGUCACUGGAUUCGAUGAAAUCCUGUUGUUUAUUAUGCACAUGUCACAUACCUCAAAAAUCAAGUUCUUGGGAGAGGGAAUUUAAUUGGCCUAACUUGUAUCACCCGCCCUUGGGCCGGUCCCACCAAUUUGCAUGUAAUUGGGUACAGAAUUAAGGUAGUCCCCAAAGAAAAAAAUGGUGCUAUUAACAAAUAGAGAAGUAUAUGCUGGGUAGGCAAUAUCAACAGAUUUCGUCUAUGUUAACUUUGAGUUGGUUUGCUACUAGACUGCAGCCUUGUUUUAAUAUCAAUUUUUUUUUCUCGAAGAAUUUUACUCUUUCAACACCAAGGAAACUCAAGACAAUAGAAAACUACUGGACAAUAGCACCAAGUAAUGUAUUUGUGUGUGAAGACUCACUAAUUUAUGCAAUUAUACCUCAAUCUAUGCAGUAUCUUCCUAAAGAUUAUUAAAAAAUCAAAUGUAUUUUAAAGAAGUUUGCCUUUUAUUUAAAUAAAUACUGUCUAAACU
rnacentral:lncRNA from 10 species